GCGGGAGUCGCCGCCGCCGCCUCUCCAGCCGCGUCAGAACAGAAGAGAGGAAGGGGAGGAGUCGGGGGGGAGCCUAGGCUGCCGCUGGUCUGAACCCUGACCCCGGGGCGGCCUGCGAGCGCGCUUCCAAGAGCCGGUCCCUUCGGGGCCGGUGGUGGCGGCUGCUCGGGAGGCCGGGGCGGCCCCGCUGGGGCGCUCAGCACCCGGAUGUGAGGCACUUGCCCCCCGGCGGCCCCGGAACAGCGGGGCUGCGGGAAGUCCUGCGCCCGCGCCGCUGCACCUGCUCGGCGAGCGCGCCUCGCCCCGCCCCGCCCCGCCCCGCCCGCGCUGCGGUGACACCGGCGCCCAGUAACGUGUGGACCGACGGACGGACGGACGGGUGGAUGCCUCCCUCUCGUGGGCCUCGCUCAGAGGAGCCUCCAGGUUCCGGAUGCCAGCAUGAUACCAGACUUCCCUGGACUGAUGACCCCACCAAUGUGUCCUGGAGCCCCGCUUCCCCAGAAACCCACCCUACUAGGGAAAGAGAGGCAGACUGGGAGUAUGGACCGACCAGUCAAUGUCCAUGUUCAUCGGAGAAGCAGUUACAGAAGCCAGACCUUCCACCUUUUGCAACCCACAAUGACCCUGGGUCCAUACUCCCAGAGGGAUAGAGAAUGGGAAAGCUAUUGGGGAGGGGAUGGGAUAUGGAGAUCGGGUGGUGGGAAUUGUGUGGAGUUGUACCCCUCCUAUCCUGCAGUUUUGUUAAUGUCUCCUUUCUUUUUUUUUUUUUUUUUUUAAAAAGACUAAUCUAUGGUGACAAGAAAGAUCAAUGGUUACCAGGGAGUGGAGACUAGGUGUGCAGGAAGGAGGCAUACACAGGCAGCUCACAAAUGGAUCAGAAGCUGUUUCCAGCUGGUUCUCUCAUCACUCUGUACACCUGCCCCAGCCCUGACAUGCCGGCCUGUUGUCUGCAGUCCGAAUGGCUGAUGCCCUUGC